rnacentral:rRNA from 1 species
UACGGGGGGGGCAAGCGUUGUUCGGAAUUACUGGGCGUAAAGGGCUCGUAGGUGGCCAACUAAGUCGGACGUGAAAUCCCUCGGCUUAACCGGGGAACUGCGUUCAAAACUGACAAGCUAGAGUAUGGUAGAGGGUGGUGGAAUUUCCUGUGUAGCGGUGAAAUGCGUAGAUAUAGGAAGGAACACCAGUGGCGAAGGCGACCACCUGGACUGAUACUGACACUGAGGUGCGAAAGCGUGGGGAGCAAACAGG